CGGAGGAAAAGAAACCAACAGGGAUUGCCUUAGUAACGGCGAGUGAAGUGGCAAAAGCUCGAAUUUGAAAUCUGCCGCCCGGCCGAGUUGUAAUUUGCAGAGGAAUCCUUUGGGUAAAAUUCGCUCCAAGUCCCCUGGAACGGGGUGCCAUAGAGGGUGAGAGCCCCGUUUGGAGAUGUUUGUUUAGCCCUGCAUGAAGAUCCUUUCAACGAGUCGAGUAGUUUUGGGAAUGCCUGCUCUAAAUGGGAGGUAAAUUUCCUUUCUAAAGCUUAAUAUUAGCCAGAGACCGAUAGCGCACAAGUAGAGUGAUCGAAAGAUGAAAAGCACUUUUGAAAAGAGAGUUAAAAGCACGUGAAAUUGUUGAAAGGGAAGUACUUGUAACCAGACAUGCACUAUGUGGAUUUGCUACUGUUACCAGUGGUGUACUCUGCGUAGAGUUGGCUAGCAUGAGUUUUUCCAGGGGGAUAAAAGCAGUGGGAAUGUAACUCGUUGAGUAUUAUAGACUAUUGCAAAAUACCCCUAGGAAAACUGAGGAAAGCGUUUUGCAAGGAUGUUGGCGUAAUGGUUUCUAG
rnacentral:rRNA from 1 species